rnacentral:rRNA from 1 species
UACAGAGGUCUCAAGCGUUGUUCGGAUUCAUUGGGCGUAAAGGGUGCGUAGGUGGCAUGGUAAGUCGGAUGUGAAAUCCCGGGGCUCAACCCCGGAACUGCAUUCGAUACUGCUGCGCUAGAGUACUGGAGAGGAGAUUGGAAUUUACGGUGUAGCAGUGAAAUGCGUAGAUAUCGUAAGGAAGACCAGUGGCGAAGGCGGAUCUCUGGACAGUUACUGACGCUCAGGCACGAAAGCAUGGGGAGCAAAAGGG